CCGCACGGGUGAGUAACACGUAUCCAACCUGCCGUCUACUCUUGGACAGCCUUCUGAAAGGAAGAUUAAUACAAGAUGGCAUCAUGAGUCCGCAUGUUCACAUGAUUAAAGGUAUUCCGGUAGACGAUGGGGAUGCGUUCCAUUAGUUUGUUGGCGGGGUAACGGCCCACCAAGACUACGAUGGAUAGGGGUUCUGAGAGGAAGGUCCCCCACAUUGGAACUGAGACACGGUCCAA
rnacentral:rRNA from 1 species